CUUGUAAUAUAUGUUGGGACACGUACUUGUGGGUUUGGUUCUUCUUUCACAGCUAACUAUACUUCUCUUUCAGGGCUCUUGGGACUGAACAGUGCAUAACAUGGCACAAACAACUGAAAACUGAAUCAAACCACGUAAGUUUUAGGGACCAGAUGAGGCUAUAUUGUUGGGUGUCCCAGCUGCCAUAUGCCACCUGCAUGCUGGCCGAGGAGUCACCUGGAGAUACCUAAAAGAAAAUCAGAGGGCAGAUGCAAAUCUGAUGCCUACGCCUAGCUUGGGAGAACUUCAGCAUGCCAAGCAGCGAGAGGUGGUUAAUGAUUGCAUGAAAUUAUCCAGCCUUUUAAAAAAAUCCACUCAAAGUUAUCAGAACCUUACAUCACAUGCCAGCAGAACCUGUAUGAGGCCCACUAGCAGCAGCAAAACUGAAGGAAGGUGAGUGACAGAUUAUUCACUUGCAUGGCAAAAUUUGUCUUAAGCCUCUUGUUCAUACCCACAGAAUCAGUCCUGAGGGACAUUUUACAGGAUGAU